GACGGAGGGUGCUAGCGUUGUUCGGAAUGACUGGGCGUAAAGGGCGCGUAGGCGGCUUUUCAAGUCGGGUGUGAAAGCCCGGGGCUCAACCCCGGAACGGCAUCCGAUACUGGGAGGCUUGAGACCGGGAGAGGAGGGUGGAAUAUCCAGUGUAGAGGUGAAAUUCGUAGAUAUUGGAUGGAACACCAGUGGCGAAAGCGGCUCUCUGGCCCGGAUCUGACGCUGAGGCGCGAAAGCGUGGGGAGCAAAC
rnacentral:rRNA from 1 species